UUUAAAGUCUAAUCUGCCCUAUGAGGAGUUAAAUGGCCGCGGUACUUUGACCGUGCAAAGGUAGCAUAAUAAUUAGUUUUUUAAUUGAAAGCUGGAAUGAAUGAUUGGACGAGAAAAUUUCUGUCUCAAGUUAAUUUUAUUAGAAUUUUAUUUUUAAGUUAAAAAGCUUAAAUAUUUUUAGAAGACGAGAAGACCCUAUAGAGUUUUAUAUAUUUUAGUAUAUUUAAAUUUUUAGAAUUUUAUUUUUGUUAUAUUUAAGUAUAUUUUGUUGGGGUGAUAGAAAAAUUAAAUUAACUUUUUUUAUAUUUUUACAUUGAUAUAUGAUUAAAUGAUCCAUUUUUUAUGAUUAUAAGAUUAAAUUACCUUAGGGAUAACAGCGUAAUUAUUUUUUAGAGUUCUUAUCGAAAAAAUAGAUUGCGACCUCGAUGUUGGAUUAAAAUAAAUGUUUGGUGUAGGGGCUAAAUAAUUAGGUCUGUUCGACCUUUAAAAUUUUACA
rnacentral:rRNA from 1 species